rnacentral:tRNA from 1 species
GGGCCCGUGGUGUAACGGCAACACAGCACUCUGUCCAAGUCGCAGAUGCGGGUUCGAAUCCCGCCGGGUCCA